GGACUACCCGGGUUUCUAAUCCUGUUUGCUCCCCACGCUUUCGCGUCUCAGCGUCAGCAACGAUCCAGAGGGCCGCCUUCGCCGCCGGUGUUCCUCCUGAUAUCUACGCAUUUCACCGCUACACCAGGAAUUCCACCCUCCUCUAUCGCGCUCCAGUCGGCUAGUUUCCGAUGCACUUCCGGAGCUGAGCCCCGGGCUUUCACACCAGACUUGACCAACCGCCUACACGCCCUUUACGCCCAGUCAAUCCGAACAACGCUUGCACCCUCCGUCUUACCGCGGCGGCUGGCAC
rnacentral:rRNA from 1 species